GUUAUCGGAAUUCAUUUCAAUCCAUGUGUGCUGAUGUGGGUUGGGGUGGAAUUUAGUUUAAAUUUCACACCAAUCCACCUCAACACACGUGGAUUGAUGUGAAUUCGACU
rfam:Sorghum bicolor cultivar BTx623 chromosome 3, whole genome shotgun sequence.